AUGUUGUGGUUUGAACUGCUUGAGAUUGCUAAAUCUAUUAUCCUUUCCGACGAGGAAGACACUUUAGUCUGGAACCUCAAUUCUAGAGGAGUAUAUAUUGUUAAGUCCUUUUAUAAAAUAGUAAACUUCAGAGGGGUGCUCCCUGUGAAUACCCCAGCUGUCUGGUCUAUUAAAAUCCCUGCUAGGAAUCAUAUAUUUCUCUGGUUGUUGGCCAACAACAAGCUGUUGACCAGAGAUAAUCUGCAGAAAAGACAGGAAGUCCCUGAUCCUACCUGUGUUUUUUGCACUGAACUUGAAUCCUACCACCAUCUAUUUUUGGUUGUGUUGAUUCCUUGGAGUUCUGGAGAACUGUUGCCAAGUAAACUGGUUUUAGAGGAGAGAUCAAUAUGA
rnacentral:rRNA from 1 species